rnacentral:tRNA from 1 species
GGUUUGUGGCUCAGCCGCAGAGCGCCUGCCUAGCAUGUGUGAGGCACUGGGUUCGAUUCUCAGCACCA